rnacentral:rRNA from 1 species
CCUACGGGGGGCAGCAGUGGGGAAUAUUGGACAAUGGGCGAAAGCCUGAUCCAGCCAUGCCGCGUGUGUGAAGAAGGCCUUCGGGUUGUAAAGCACUUUCAGUGGGGAAGAAAGCCUUAGGGCUAAUACCCUCGAGGAAGGACAUCACCCACAGAAGAAGCACCGGCUAACUCCGUGCCAGCAGCCGCGGUAAUACGGAGGGUGCGAGCGUUAAUCGGAAUUACUGGGCGUAAAGCGCGCGUAGGCGGUCUGAUAAGCCGGUUGUGAAAGCCCCGGGCUCAACCUGGGAACGGCAUCCGGAACUGUCAGGCUAGAGUGCAGGAGAGGAAGGUAGAAUUCCCGGUGUAGCGGUGAAAUGCGUAGAGAUCGGGAGGAAUACCAGUGGCGAAGGCGGCCUUCUGGACUGACACUGACGCUGAGGUGCGAAAGCGUGGGUAGCAAACAGGAUUAGAUACCCUAGUAGUC